UACGUAGGGUGCAAGCGUUGUCCGGAAUUAUUGGGCGUAAAGAGCUCGUAGGCGGUUUGUCGCGUCUGCUGUGAAAACUGGGGGCUCAACCCCCAGCCUGCAGUGGGUACGGGCAGACUAGAGUGCGGUAGGGGAGAUUGGAAUUCCUGGUGUAGCGGUGAAAUGCGCAGAUAUCAGGAGGAACACCGGUGGCGAAGGCGGGUCUCUGGGCCGAUACUGACGCUGAGGAGCGAAAGCGUGGGGAGCGAACAGG
rnacentral:rRNA from 1 species